rnacentral:sRNA from 1 species
CCAGCGCCAGCGAUAGUAGCGGAAAUCCUUUCGCAGGAGCGAAAGAUUGGAGCGUAUAGCGCGGUCGGUU